AUAUCAGCCAUGAUCCGGUGAAUACGUUCCCGGGCCUUGUACACACCGCCCGUCAAGCCAUGGAAGCUGGGGGUGCCUGAAGUCGGUGACCGCAAGGAGCUGCCUAGGGUAAAACUGGUAACUAGGGCUAAGUCGUAACAAGGUAGCCGUACCGGAAGGUGCGGCUGGAACACCUCCUUUCUAGAGCCUUAU
rnacentral:rRNA from 1 species